GUGAUUAUUAUAUAAUUUUAAUUACCAAAAAAGAAGGAAGUAGGAACUACCCUUCUUUAGUCCACUGUAAACCUGUAAUAUGUUCACAAUGGAUAACCAAAAGUACAAGCAGCUGAAGCUACAAAGAAAAAGAGGGGUAAUAUCCGAGCAAUUUGAUCAUUAGGCCAUAUCCUUGGAUGCAUUUGAAUAUAUAACUUGAUGUACCUGACCUGAAUUUAGUAACAAUCUUUCAUUUCAUUAAAAGAGACAGAUUUAGAUCGAGCAAUUUAGCAGAUUAUUGAUUGUUCUUGUUCUAGACAAUUAAACCGAAACAGUAUAAAAUAACAUAUUUUUACAAAGGAGAAAAAGGUGAAGCAACUCACAGCGGAAUAUCGCCGGAGGAGACGCGGUCUUGUCCGGUUUGAUGCAUUUGCCUGCUCCUACUGUUCUUCUUAUCUGCUAAAAGAGCACACAAACUCAACACAGCCAAAC
rnacentral:lncRNA from 1 species